GGGGAUUUAGCUCAGUGGUGGUAGAGCGCUUGCCUAGCAAGCGCAAGGCCCUGGGUUCAGUCCCCA
rnacentral:tRNA from 1 species